UCGUGGUCAGAAGAUCAAUUACGAGCGGAAUUACACAGUAUUUUCAAGAAGCAUAUUACAGGACCAAACACCUUUGAGUUUGUAAAGUCUGUCGGAAAUGGCAUCGCCCAAUUAAAACUGCCACAAGGGCAAGAAGCAAAUGCCAAAAUAAUACGACACAUUAGUGGGACUGGACCAAUUUAUAUCCGCUCUCUAGUAAAGAUCGACAGUGAUGAGGAUGAUGACAUUGUUGAAUUGAGUGAUAAUGUGGAUAAUUUUGUCAGAAGUAGUGAUAUAAGAUCGUAUGUAUCACGCAAU